rnacentral:lncRNA from 1 species
UCACAACCCAUCGCGACCCCCUCGGUUCCCCUCGUCCGAUUCCCUCAGUAUCCAGACGAUUUGGCCCUCGGAAUCGAGCGCACGAAGCUCGCCGGAUCUCCCCAGUCGACGUCGCUUUACCGCUCGAUUCCACCACGUACGGUACAUCCCGAGUGCCCCCUCGAGCUACAUACUUAUCGUAUCUGUGUGCCGCAUCUCCCUGACCCUUUAUUUCACUUGCAAAGGGCACCAGCAGGAGCUCCCCAACUCGCACUCGAAGGAUGCCGGCGCCGCCCAACUUCGUCGGUGCCCAGCCGCCGCAAGACACCUCCCAAGGGCAUCCCAACGAGGCCAUCGACAUCGCCGUGAAGCUCUGCGCACCGUUCGCUCCUUCAUGACGUCCUAAGAGGACCACAUCGACGCUACGGGCCACUUUUCGAUGCCCCGCCGCCGCGCCAUGGUCGCUGGAGUUCCUUCCGGUGAGGAAUUCCCCUUUGUUUGCAACCCUAGCCCCAAUAAUACAGUGGCCGUCUGGUCUAACUUCAUCCAACGGCAGGCAACAACAGGUAAUGCAAAGGAGCAAUUCAAAUUUGAAUUCAUACCUUCAUUUGAUCAUAUCGGGUGAACCAUGACAUCUUUUCAAUUGAUUCCUUUUGCGUCUGAACCUUUGUGCCAAAUACUUGCUGGUCAUAUCAUGUAGACUCAAAUUUCAAAUACUUUUUACCUGGUUGAAUUUAAAUUUAAUUCAAACUCUAUUUCGCUAAGUUGCAUUAUAGUACUCCUAUUCAAUUCAUCCUUUUUGAAAAUGAACACCUAUGUCGCAUGCAACAUUUCAAACAACAUUUAUGUUGUGUUCCAUAAACCCUUGGCACUUUUCCAUACUAUCCUUGAUACAAACUUGUAUAGCAAUAAUUCAUCAUGUGUUAGCUCUUUUGACUUGAUCCUUCUACCUUCACCUCUAGCACCAUCGAGAACCCAUAUCAUAUAUUAAGCCCAACUAUAUUGAUUUUGUUUAACCUUGCCGUAUUUGUUUUAUUAUUCUUUUUAUUCUUAUCUAUGGCAUGGUUAUUUAUUUGGAUUCUUUAUUUUGCGAUAGAUUGCUCGGAGCGUGACGAGUAGCAUUGUCAGGAAUUGUGAGUGCGACAAUCUUCACCAAAAGUACCAGGCAAGUUACACCUUGAUCAUCCUUCAUCCUAUUAUUUUUUUCUAUGCAUGUAGUUAUAUAUAGCAUAUUACUAUAUUAUGCAUGUGAGGAAUAUUAUGAUAUUAGGCUAUUGCUAUUGAGAUGCAGUUAGUAUGGCCUUAUUGUAGACCACGGUAGUUGUAUUCUUGCUAUGCUAUGUAGAGGGAUCGGCUUGUGUACUCAUCGAGAUUAUGUGAGGAUUAUAUAUAAUAAUUUAUGUAUUAACUUAAAAUAUAAUUCACCUCGGGGUGGAAGCGGUAUUGCUUGGUGUUGAGGGAAGGCAUGAUGGGGUCUUGCACCUUUUCUAAGGCCAUGCGCCCAUGAGAGUGCACCCUAAGUGGAAUGUCGCCCAGGUUCAAAAAGAUCAGACAGACUUAGUGACUAGUAGCUUCCAUGUGCGGCCACUGGCUAUAUGGGCUCUAGCUUAGUUGAUCAGUUGUUGGAACCCUAGCCCAGACAGUGUCGGCAGAUGUAGCAUAUGUAGGUGGGAUGUGGCCGUUAGGUGGUUAAGGGAACCUCUUCUGAAAGACUUCGUCUCAAUCUUCAGAUUGGGUCCAGUGGUAAAGCGUACUAAACUCUGUAGAGUAUUAAAAACUAAUCAUGAUUAGCCGUGUCCCCGGUUAUGGACAAAUUUGAGCAGCUAGACCAUUACAGCUGUUGGAUGAUCUUGACAAAUGAUACCUUAAUAAAAAUUUGAGUGGGAAACUUAAUAAUUGGGAUAGGUUGGAAUAGGAUUGCCCAAUUCAGCCAUGUGUAUUUAAUUGUAGCAAGACAUAAUUAAAAUUUGGCUAUUAUAUUAUGUAGUUAUCAGGGAAAAUUAGCUUUUCUGCAAAACAGCCACUGCAUUAUCCUCUUGAUAUACCUUGCAUAUAGAUGUAGGUCUGUUAUAUCAUUCCUUGUGUGACUUGCCAAUACAUUCAAAGUAUUGACCCUUUGUGGCUGCAAUGUUUCAUGUUGCAGAUUUUAUAUGACGAGUGAGUGAUACGAUGUAGGGUUACAAUGUCUAUACUCAACAUUUGCCUGUGGUGUUGAUGGACUCCAUCAAGAUUUUAUUUGUUUUCCGCUGUAUUUUUGUUAUGAGCUAGCCUUGAGCUAUGCAGGUAUGUAUUAUAUUAAAUUAUGGAUCUGCGAUGUACUAUUAUGACAUGUGGUUUAUUCUUGAUAUUACAUCUUGAAUUGUGUGUGCUAGCUAUUGAUCCAGG